AAUCAGAGAAGCAGCACAGAGACCAAAGGUCACCCUGAAGGAGCUGCAGAGCUCCUCAGAGACUGGAGGAUCUGUCCAGAGGACCACAAUAUGCGGUAAACUCCACAGAGCUGGGCUUUAUGGAGGAGUGGCCAGAAAAAGGAAGGAGUAUAGCACCCCUGCAAACCUACCAAGACACAACGGCCCACCAAAUGGUCCAGGCAGAGUGAGCCUUGAUCAGAAAUGGAGCCAAAAUGGCCACGGUAGCUCUGGAGGAGGUGCAGAGAUCCACAAAACAGUUGGGGGGGG